rnacentral:rRNA from 1 species
AUUGAACGCUGGCGGCAGGCCUAACACAUGCAAGUCGAGCGAGCGGCGGACGGGUGAGUAAUGUCUGGGAAACUGCCUGAUGGAGGGGGAUAACUACUGGAAACGGUAGCUAAUACCGCAUACCAUCGGAUGUGCCCAGAUGGGAUUAGCUAGUAGGUGGGGUAACGGCUCACCUAGGCGACGAUCCCUAGCUGGUCUGAGAGGAGGACCAGCAACACUGGGACUGAGACACGGCCCAGACUCCUACGGGAGGCAGCAGUGGGGAAGAUUGCACAAUGGGCGCAAGCCUGAUGCAGCCAUGCCGCGUGUGUGAAGAAGGCCUUAGGGUUGUAAAGCACUUUCAGUCGGGAGGCGUUACCGACAGAAGAAGCACCGGCUAACUCCGUGCCAGCAGCCGCGGUAAUUC